rnacentral:rRNA from 1 species
UACGUAGGGUGCGAGCGUUAAUCGGAAUUACUGGGCGUAAAGCGUGCGCAGGCGGUUCGUUGUGUCGGCGGUGAAAGCCCCGGGCUUAACCUGGGAAUGGCCGUUGAAACUGGCGAACUGGAGUGUGGCAGAGGGGGGUGGAAUUCCGCGUGUAGCAGUGAAAUGCGUAGAGAUGCGGAGGAACACCCGUGGCGAAGGCGGUUCUCUGGGACGGUACUGACGCUGAGACGCGAAAGCGUGGGGAGCGAACAGG